rnacentral:snoRNA from 1 species
CCCGUCUCUGAUCCAGAGAUGGUCGACUACAUCCUAGCUGGUUUUGACUGUGACUACGAUCCAGUGCUUGCAGCGGUCGACGUCAUAAAAAAAUUCAAUCUCUGUUGGUGAUUUGUUUGCGCAGAUCUCUACCUUUGAUC